UACGGGGGGGGCAAGCGUUGUUCGGAAUUACUGGGCGUAAAGGGCUCGUAGGCGGCCAACUAAGUCAGACGUGAAAUCCCUCGGCUUAACCGGGGAACUGCAUCUGAUACUGGAUGGCUUGAGUUCGGGAGAGGGAUGCGGAAUUCCAGGUGUAGCGGUGAAAUGCGUAGAUAUCUGGAGGAACACCGGUGGCGAAGGCGGCAUCUUGGACCGACACUGACGCUGAGGAGCGAAAGCCAGGGGAGCAAACGGG
rnacentral:rRNA from 1 species